UACGAAGGGGGCUAGCGUUGUUCGGAAUUACUGGGCGUAAAGCGCACGUAGGCGGACUAUUAAGUCAGGGGUGAAAUCCCGGGGGCUCAACCCCGGAACUGCCUUUGAUACUGGUAGUCUCGAGUCCGGAAGAGGUGAGUGGAAUUCCGAGUGUAGAGGUGAAAUUCGUAGAUAUUCGGAGGAACACCAGUGGCGAAGGCGGCUCACUGGUCCGGUACUGACGCUGAGGUGCGAAAGCGUGGGGAGCAAACAGG
rnacentral:rRNA from 1 species